ACCACAACAUACUAAAACAAUAGUAUAAACUAAUUUGAACUCUGCCACAUAUAAUAGUUCAUCAUUUGACAUUUAACCAAGUGCAUACAACUCAUAGUUCAACAGUGCAUAGAGUACUAAAACCUAAUAGUUAUACAACCCAUAGUAAUUCUCUUGGUUGUCAUCAAAAGUACAAGUUAAUCAUCACAUAUGCAAUCACCAUCAUUCAUGUUCUCCCAAAGACCAUAGUAAAGAGCAAGGAAAUCCAAACUAAAAUCUGGGAGUACUUUCUUGUUCUCCCAAAGUCAUCACAUAUGCAAUCACCAUCAUUCAUGUACUUUUUUUGGUUUGGGCUCUUCAAGCAGGGGUUUCUUGGCUAUGUCUUCUUCAAGAUUAAUCACUUCUGUACCAAGAGGGUCAUUUGAGCAUUUUGCAUAUUGCCCCGUGGCCAUGCUUCCUCCAGCAAUAAUCACAUAAAGAAAGAAAUUCAGCAAGUGUUUGGACAUUGAGACAAUAUUAUAACAAGUAUUUGAGCUUAAAGAAAAAAAUUACAGCAAGCAUUUGACAUUAUGAAACCCAUUACGGCAAGUACUUUCACAUAAAGAGAAUUUCAGCAAGCCUUUGGACAUUGAGAUACUAAUUACAGCAAGUAUUUGAGCAUAAGGAAAAAAUGCAGCAAGCAAAUUUAGGUUCUAGUAAUCACAUGACACUUGAACAUGUGCACAAAAAUAAUUCAAUUGCACACCAUCUAUGUACAAAAUAAUGAUUUAUUUGGAACUAAAAGAUGUUUAACUAUGGCCAAAUAACCUCAGAUUGAAGGUGCUCUGCUCCAAGUUAUACUCAUAGUACUCUGCUACAGACUGCUUACAAAGAAUAGAAUAGGAUUUAUGGCUUCAAAUCACCUGCAAUAGACAAAGAAUAAUCAUUAACAUGGAGCACAAAUGCAUGCUCACGCAUCCAGUAACCUGCUACAAGCCGAACUCAAGACCACACGCAGGCUUGCUCAUGCAUGCACCAGACAUGCAUACAACCGCCAUCCAACCCUCAAUCUCCGGCCACGCACGCCACCUCAAGCCCCCAGCUGCCGGCCUCCUCGAGAUCUAGCGGCGCCGCCGGCCACCUCCAGAUCCAGUCAUGCCGCUGGUUUAGAUCCCAGCCGGCCGGCCGCCACACGCGAUUGCUGGAGAGGCGGACGCGUAGGAGGAGGGAGGGCCGAGUAGAGAACCAACGAACUCACCUCUCGUGGCCUCUCUGCUAGAUGAGCUGCCGCCGCCGCCGCACACGAGAGAGACGAACGAUGGGGAAAAAGUGAGGGUUUCACCUGUUCGUGGUGGUGAGUGGGAGUCAGUAGGCGGAAAAACGAUUCACGCAUGAGCGGAGGGACGCACGCACGGGGUGGUUGCCGUUGUCCGCCACUUUUUCGCGGCUAGCCGCAACCCUGUUUUUCACGAAUAUUCCAGGCAUCUGGCUGCC
rnacentral:lncRNA from 1 species